rnacentral:rRNA from 1 species
UAAGACGAACCGUGCGAACGUUGUUCGGAAUCACUGGGCUUAAAGGGCGCGUAGGCGGGCAAUCAAGUCAGGGGUGAAAUCCUCCGGCUCAACCGGAGAACUGCCUUUGAUACUGGUCGUCUCGAGUGAGGUAGGGGCAUGCGGAACUGAUGGUGGAGCGGUGAAAUGUGUUGAUAUCAUCAGGAACUCCGGUGGCGAAAGCGGCGUGCUGGACCUCAACUGACGCUGAUGCGCGAAAGCUAGGGGAGCGAACGGGAUUAGAUACCCCGGUAGUCCUAGCCCUAAACGAUGAGAACUAGGUAGUAGACUUGACAUGGGUUUACUGCCGAAGCAAAAGUGCUAAGUUCUCCGCCUGGGGAGUAUGGUCGCAAGGCUG